GACGAGGGACCUAGCGUUGUUCGGAAUCAUUGGGCGUAAAGAGUAUGUAGGCGGCCUUGUAAGUCAGUUGUGAAAGCCCCGGGCUCAACCCGGGAAGUGCAAUUGAUACUGCUUGGCUUGAAUGUGGAAGAGGGCAGUAGAAUUCCAGGUGUAGUGGUGAAAUACGUAGAUAUCUGGAGGAACACCGGUGGCGAAGGCGGCGUCCUGGACCAACACUGACACUGAGGAGCGAAAGCCAGGGGAGCAAACGGGG
rnacentral:rRNA from 1 species